rnacentral:rRNA from 1 species
UUUUGCCCAAUGGGGGAGACCCUGAUGCAGCCAUGCCGCGUGUGUGAAGAAGGCCUUCGGGUUGUAAAGCACUUUCAGCAGUGAGGAAGGUAGUGUACUUAAUACGUGCAUUGCUUGACGUUAGCUGCAGAAGAAGCACCGGCUAACUCCGUGCCAGCAGCCGCGGUAAUACGGAGGGUGCGAGCGUUAAUCGGAAUUACUGGGCGUAAAGCGCAUGCAGGCGGUUUGUUAAGUCAGAUGUGAAAGCCCGGGGCUCAACCUCGGAACCGCAUUUGAAACUGGCAGGCUAGAGUCUUGUAGAGGGGGGUAGAAUUUCAGGUGUAGCGGUGAAAUGCGUAGAGAUCUGAAGGAAUACCAGUGGCGAAGGCGGCCCCCUGGACAAAGACUGACGCUCAGAUGCGAAAGCGUGGGUAGCAAACAGGAUUAGAUACCCUGGUAGUCCACGCCGUAAACGCUGUCUACUUGGAGGUUGAGGUUUAAGACUUUGGCUUUCGGCGCUAACGCAUUAAGUAGACCGCCUGGGGAGUACGGCCGCAAGGUUAAAACUCAAAUGAAUUGACGGGGGCCCGCACAAGCGGUGGAGCAUGUGGUUUAAUUCGAUGCAACGCGAAGAACCUUACCUACUCUUGACAUCCAGCGAAUCCUUUAGAGAUAGAGGAGUGCCUUCGGGAGCGCUGAGACAGGUGCUGCAUGGCUGUCGUCAGCUCGUGUUGUGAAAUGUUGGGUUAAGUCCCGCAACGAGCGCAACCCUUAUCCUUGUUUGCCAGCACGUAAUGGUGGGAACUCCAGGGAGACUGCCGGUGAUAAACCGGAGGAAGGUGGGGACGACGUCAAGUCAUCAUGGCCCUUACGAGUAGGGCUACACACGUGCUACAAUGGCAGAUACAGAGGGCAGCGAAGCUGCGAAGUGGAGCGAAUCCCUUAAAGUCUGUCGUAGUCCGGAUUGGAGUCUGCAACUCGACUCCAUGAAGUCGGAAUCGCUAGUAAUCGUGGAUCAGAAUGCCACGGUGAAUACGUUCCCGGGCCUUGUACACACCGCCCGUCACACCAUGGGAGUGGGCUGCACCAGAAGUAGAUAGCUUAACCUUCGGGAGUGGCGUUUACCACGGUGUGGAUUCAUGACUAGGGGAAGUACACG